GCCGAGACAAGAGGCGUGUGAGCAGGCGUGUUCCACAGGCACUAAGGCGUGGACAGAACUCGCUUGCGGCGGACCCUGGGGCCGCUUCACCACCCGAAAUACCAGCAGAGGAGCAACAAGACAACCAUGGCAAUUUCAACAGGGAUGUGCACAGGAGUGCUACACGAGCCUUCCGGCAUGGACACGACUUGUUCGCGGCGACCAAUGGAGCCGGUUCACCACCUGAGAUACCGCCAGGGGAGCAGCAAGCAAGCCGAGACAAAAGGCGUCUGAACAGGCGUGUUCCACAUGCACUAAGGCGUGGACAGGACUCGCUCGCAGUGGACCCUGGGGCCGGUUCACCACCCGAAAUACCGGCAAAGGAGCAACAAGAGAACCGAGGCAAGAGGCUUGUGAAGAGUCGUUUUCCACGUGCACUAAGGCGUGGACAGCACUCACUCGCGGCCGACCCUGGGGCCUGUUUACCACGCGAAAUACCG
rnacentral:lncRNA from 1 species